CGGGCAUUCAGAGCGGAGUUAAAAGUAUGUAAAGUGUUGUUAGAAGUUUUAUACCUCCUCCUUCAUUUCCAAAAUUCCCAAUUUUUGGUUUUCUAUCAAUUUCAAUAUGAACAUACAUUUAGUAUGUUAUGAACAUUUAAGUAAGGAGCCUGUAGUUCAGUGGUUGUCGUUUGUUUGUGUGUUACAUAUUUGUUUUUCGUUCCUUUUUUUUGUACAUAAAUAAGGCCGCUAGUUUUCUCGUUUGAAUUUUUUUACAUCGUCAUUUCGGUGCCUUUUAAAGCUGAGUAUGCGGUAUGGGCUUUGCUCGUUGUUGAAGGCCGAACGGUGACCUAUAGUCGUAAAUUUCUGUGUCAUUUUGGUCUCUUGUGGAGAGUUGUCUCAACAUGGCAAUCAUACCACAUCUUUUUUUUGUUAUCAAUGAAUUUUGUAAAAU
rnacentral:lncRNA from 1 species